CCAAAGUGUGACUGUCCCUCUUACCUGGAGUCCCUUUGGAGUUAAGAUGUGUCCCCUCUAGAGAGCCCAUUACUUAAUGAGAGGAUAAGGGCCUGACACAAUAAUGACCUUUAUGAGACCCAGUCUGGAAGUAAAAUGUGAGCACAGAUGGCCGGGAUGAAGGGGUCAGUGGUUGUCUAGGUGGCCUUGUAGGUGUUCCGGGACCACAGGGUAAUCAUUUGGGGCAUUUGCACCCCAACUUGGCCUAGCACCCUUUGCACAGAGCCCAGCAACUUAGAGCUGCUAACAAGUGCUGGCCAGUCCUCCACCCUAGGAAGGACCUGUCUGACACCCCACUGUGAACGAGGAUUCUCCAGCAAGGCCUGUCCCUGGAGAACGGUCCUCGGCAAGCUUGAGGACCUGAGUUCAAAUCUCCAGCAUGCCUGUAACCCAGUAUUGGGUGAUAAGACAUAGGCCUUUGACAAGAACUUAUUGGUUCAGGUGAACCCCAAGGCCACCCAGGCCUCCCUGUUGUGAGUAGGUCCUUUGCAGCCAUCACCCUGAGGCUGCCUUAGUGGUGGGGACAACAGGCCUCCUCCCUACUCUUGGGCCCUGCAGUGCCCAGUCAGAAACUUCUCCACUCAGACCCCAGCCACGGAUUCCCCAACCCUCCUAACACUGGCAAUAAACUCAACUGUGACCCACUCUGCCCCUGA
rnacentral:lncRNA from 1 species